rnacentral:rRNA from 1 species
GGGGGAAAAUUAAUAAGUUAAAUUUAAUAAAAAAAAUUUUAAUAUUAAAAAGAAAAUGGGGGUUUGAGUAUUUUUAAUAGAAAAAAUUAAUAGUUUUAUAGUUAAAUAUUACUGUAAAGGAAUUUAUAAAUAAAUGAAAUAUAAUUAAUGAAAAAGUAAAUUUAAAUUAUUGUAUCUUGUGUAUCAGAGUUUAUUAAAUAAUAAUAAUUUAUUUAAAUAAAUCUCGAAUUUAAAAGAGUUAAUUAAUUAAAAAAGUUAAUGUUGUAUAAUUAUUUUAAAUAAUUAAUUAGAAAUGAAAUGUUAAUCGUUUUUAAAUAUAUCUAGUUUUUUCAGAAAAAAAUUUAAUUUUAAAUUUAAAUAAUUUUAUAAUUAUUUAAUUAAUUAUAAAAAUUUAAAUUUUAAUAUUUUAGGGGAUAAGCUUUAAAUUAAAAAUUUAUAAUUAAAAAUAUUUAAAAUUAAAAUUUUUAAAAUUUAUAUUGUUUAAAAAUUAUAGUUUAUUAUAAAAAAUUUUAUUAAAAAAUAAAAUUUAAAAUAAAAAAAAUUUAAAUUUUUAUGAAAAAAUAAUUUAUAAUUCAAUAAAAUUAGAAAUAAUGAUAAAAUUAGUAUAAUAUAAUAAAUUAAAAAAAAAAUUAUAAAUAAUUAAAUUAAAGGAAUUCGGCAAAAAUUUAUAUUCACUUGUUUAUCAAAAACAUGUCUUUUUGAUAAUAAUUUAAAGUCUAAUCUGCCCACUGAUAUUAUAUUAAAGGGCUGCAGUAUAUUGACUGUACAAAGGUAGCAUAAUCAUUAGUCUUUUAAUUGAAGACUUGUAUGAAAGAUUUGAUGAAAUAUAAACUGUCUCUAAUUUAUGAUUAGAAAUUAAUUUUUUAGUUAAAAAGCUAAAAUAAUAUUAAAAGACGAGAAGACCCUAUAGAGUUUUAUAUUUUAUUUAAUUAAUAUUAAAUAUAUAAUUAAAUAUAUUAAUUAAGUGAAAUAUUGUGUUGGGGUGAUAGAAAAAUUUAAUAAACUUUUUUUAAAUUUUAACAUAAAUAAGUGGUUAGUUGAUCCAUUAAUAAUGAUUAAAAGAAAAAAUUACCUUAGGGAUAACAGCGUAAUAUUUUUUUUUAGUACAUAUAAAAAAAAAAGUUUGCGACCUCGAUGUUGGAUUAAGAUAAAAUUUAAAUGCAAAAGUUUAAAAUUUUGAUCUGUUCGAUCAUUAAAAUCUUACAUGAUCUGAGUUCAAACCGGUGUAAGCCAGGUUGGUUUCUAUCUUUAAUAAAAAAAAAUAUUUUAGUACGAAAGGAUCAAAUAUUUAAAAUAAUUUUAUAAUAAUGAAUAUUAAUAAUAUAGUUUA